AUACUACUCUCUCCGUCCCAUAUUAAGUGCCGAAAUAUUACAUGUAUCUAGACGCUUUUUAGAUAUAGAUACAUCCAUAUUUGGGCAAAUUUGAGUCACUUAAUAUGGGAAUGAGGGAGUAUUAG
rnacentral:pre_miRNA from 1 species